UGUAUUUUGAAACUUAUGGCAUUAACAAUGUGCUUAUUUUGAGAAUCAUGGUAGUGUAAAUUGUCCUUAUUUUGAGACUUAUGGAA